AGGGUUCGAUUCUGGCUCAGAACGAACGCUGGUGGCGUGUCUUAUACAUGCAAGUCGAGCGAGGCAGCAAUGCCGAGCGGCGAACGGGUGAGUAACGCGUAAGCAAUCUGCCCCAUAUCAGGAAAUACCCGUGCCAACGCGCGGUUAAUGUCCAGGAGAGUGGCCCCCUGCAUGGGGGGUUGACUAGAGAUUUAUCGGUAUGGGAUGAGCUUGCGUCCGAUUAGCUAGUUGGCGGGCAACGGCCCACCAAGGCGACGAUCGGUAGCCGGCCUGAGAGGGUGAUCGGCCACAUUGGGACUGAGAUACGGCCCAGACUCCUACGGGAGGCAGCAGUAGGGAAUAUUGCACAAUGGGGGAAACCCUGAUGCAGCAACGCCAACCGUGUGGGAAGAAGCAUUUCGGUGUGUAAACCACUGUCAUGAGGGAAUAAGGCCCGUUUUCGGACGGGAUUGAAUGUACCUUGAGAGGAAGCACCGGCAAACUUCGUGCCAGCCGCGGC
rnacentral:rRNA from 1 species